UUAAUAGCCCUGGAGACCUCCGUCCUCUGUUUAUCCACUGAACAGAGAGGUGUAGUGCAAAAUUCUCCAUGCUGCUUGUUAAUGUGCCCCAACCCUGACCUAGAGGGACCACCUGUAGGGCUGAGUAGCUAUUCAGUCACAACAGCCCAUCAUGCCUCUUUUGAG
ensembl:misc_RNA